rnacentral:rRNA from 1 species
CAAUAGCGUAUAUUAAAGUUGUUGCGGUAAAAAAGCUCGUAGUUGGAUUUCUGUUGAGAGCGACCGGUCCAUACCAUGUAUGCGUAUCUGGCUUGCUCUCGGCAUCCUCUCGAUAGACGUUACUGCGCUUGAUUGCGUGGUGCGGAUCUCGGGACUUUUACUUUGAGGAAAUUAGAGUGUUCAAGGCAGGCUUUCGCCAGAAUACAUUAGCAUGGAAUAAUACUAUAGGAUCUUGGUUCUAUUUUGUUGGUUUCUAGAAUUGAGAUAAUGAUUAAUAGGGACAAUUGGGGGCAUUCGUAUCAACACGUCAGAGGUGGAAUUCUUGGAUUGUGUUGCGACGAACUACUGCGAAAGCAUUUGCCAAGGAUGUUUUCAUUGA